ensembl:snoRNA small nucleolar RNA SNORD49
UUCAAUGAUGAAAACCGGGAAUAGGAAGUGCCGUCAGAUGCGAUAACUGACGAAAAUUUCUAAUCUGCUUUUCUGAGA